AGUGGAAUUGCUGGGUCAUAUGGUAAUUCUAUAUUUAACUUUUUGAGAAACUACCAAACUGUUUUCCAUAGCAGCUGCACCAUUUUAUAUUUCCACUAGCAAU
rnacentral:pre_miRNA from 1 species